CCCGUACUUGGUGUUACUGCGAAGGGGGGACGGAGAAGGCUAUGUUGGCCGGGCGACGGUUGUCCCGGUUUAAGCGUGUAGGUGUGUGUUCCAGGUAAAUCCGGUUCACUUUAACACUGAGGCGUGACGACGAGGCACUACGGUGCUGAAGCAACAAAUGCCCUGCUUCCAGGAAAAGCCUCUAAGCAUCAGGUAACAUCAAAUCGUACCCCAAACCGACACAGGUGGUCAGGUAGAGAAUACCAAGGCGCUUGAGAGAACUCGGGUGAAGGAACUAGGCAAAAUGGUGCCGUAACUUCGGGAGAAGGCACGCUGACACGUAGGUGA
rnacentral:rRNA from 2 species